GAUGAACGCUGGCGGCGUGCCUAAUACAUGCAAGUCGAGCGAACAGAUGAGGAGCUUGCUCCUCUGACGUUAGCGGCGGACGGGUGAGUAACACGUGGAUAACCUACCUAUAAGACUGGGAUAACUUCGGGAAACCGGAGCUAAUACCGGAUAAUAUAUUGAACCGCAUGGUUCAAUAGUGAAAGACGGUUUUGCUGUCACUUAUAGAUGGAUCCGCGCCGCAUUAGCUAGUUGGUAAGGUAACGGCUUACCAAGGCAACGAUGCGUAGCCGACCUGAGAGGGUGAUCGGCCACACUGGAACUGGGACACGGUCCAGACUCCUACGGGAGGCAGCAGUAGGGAAUCUUCCGCAAAGGGCGAAAGCCUGACGGAGCAACGCCGCGUGAGUGAUGAAGGUCUUCGGAUCGUAAAACUCUGUUAUUAGGGAAGAAUAAAUGUGUAAGUAACUAUGCACGUCUUGACGGUACCUAAUCAGAAAGCCACGGCUAACUACGUG
rnacentral:rRNA from 1 species